GCCUGGGUGGCUCAGUCGGUUGAGCGUCCGACUUCAGCUCGGGUCAUGAUCUCGCGGUCCGUGAGUUCGAGCCCCGCGUCGGGGCU
rnacentral:tRNA from 1 species